rfam:Helianthus annuus linkage group 12, whole genome shotgun sequence.
GUUUUGGGCUUAGUUGGCUGUGGAGCACAUGAAAACUCCACAGUUAAGCGUGCUCAGGUGGAAGUAGUACCAGGAUGGGUGACCUCCUGGGAAGUCUCCACAGGAGUAACCA